rnacentral:lncRNA from 10 species
CCUGGCGAAACCUAUGAGAUCUACUUUUUAUUCAAAGAGUUGCUGUGGAUUUAGCUUUUCAACGUAUUUGCAUAGAUUUCUUCAUCCAUUUUACUAGCCAACAGGAAAGUUUUCCACUGAGCUACGUUCAACAUCUCAGUAUUGACUCAGACUUGACUCCUCUCCAUCCAGUAUAUUGGAUCUCACUUUGUUGCCCAGGCUGGAGUACAGUAGAAUGAUCAUAGCUCGCUGCAACCUCAAUCUCUUGGGCUCAGGUGACCCUCCCACCUCAGCCUUCUGAGUAGCUGGGACUACAAGCACAAACCAUCAUAUUUGGACCCUGUGUUAUUCAGACAAUGCAACAAAAAAACACCAUCUUAGAAACAAAGAGCAGCCUUCAUCAGCCAACUGGACCUGCCGGUGCCUUGAUCUUGGACUUCCCAGCUGAGUGAACUGUAUGAGCCUUAGUGGCUGCACAUAUCUAUAAAGUGGAAGCUGAUGAACACUACAAGGAAAUAUGGGAAGGGAGGAGAACAUAAUUUUAUGACUUACUGACCUAUCCACUCAACUCUUGGAUAUAAACAACUCCCAUUCCUACUCCCAAGACAAGCAGCCUUACUGUUUUCAGGAAUUCAGCCAAAUGCACGAUAGAGACCACUUAAAAGUUAAUUUUGAUAAAGUUUAAUAAAUGCAUUUUGAGUAAUUCAGGAUUUUAUGGGCCCAGAGAGAAGGGUCACCUAAUGCUAACUAGAAACAUCAGGGAAUAUUUUCGGGAGGAGGAAAUCUAUAUCCCGAGAACUAAGCAAUACGUGAUUUCUUUCCUGCUGCCCUGCUACGUUUGAAUGGUUCUCUGCUCAAUGCACUACAUGAUUUAGAAUUGACUUUUUCUAUACAAUAGAAAGUUUAAAUUGGUAACCUCUGCUCCUAUUGUAACUAACUGAAAAAGUUUAUGUCUUGGAAACUAAACUGGCUCCCUGUUGGCAGAAACCUCUUGACCUCAUUCCACGUGUUUAUAAAUACACAAGUGUAUCUUGAACAGAUAAUAAUACAAUUUUCUCCACAGGGCAUGUUUGCUUCUAUCAGUUUAGGCUAUUUUCAAAUUUUAUUUUUAGGGAAAACAAAGUCCCCAAAUUAAAUAAUUUGUUUGCUUUUCCUAUAAGAUAUAGUUUUCCUUUCUUAGGGGUCAGCUUUUCUGAAAUAAAUCCUGUCUCUAACACAGCCUGCUUCAUACAUGAAAUCCUUUACUGCUAUUUUGUAUCUGCUUAAACAUGAACCCAAAUGUCCACUGUUUUUUAUGACUCUGUACAAUAAACUUCAUAUAACUGACAAUGCUGAGAAAUGGCUCUACCCAUCCCUUUUCCUUCUGGCCCUUAAAAAGGGGUAAUUAGAGUAUAAGAUUUCAGGGCAAAUACAAACAAAUAAACAAAAACUUGGCUGAAUGUAUUAUAUUUUGGCUGCGCAUCCUACCU